UCAAUCGACUUCUAAAUAAUAAAUUCAUAUACUGGAUUUUAAAAUUUUAGCAUUAUUUUUUUUUAUUUUUUAGUGAAGGAUCGUACGAAAGAAAAUUCAGAAUUCCCAAAAAAUCGAAAAAAAAAAUAAAAAUAGAUUAUCGAAUUCAAAGUAAAAAAUAACACUCUAAUAACACAUUUAGGAUAAUUAUUACUAAUAAUUAUAAUAAUAAUAAUAAUAAUAAUAAAAAAAUAAAAAUAAAACAAGAUCUAAUACUGCCUAUGGGUAUUGGGUAUAUGGGUACAUGGGUAUUGCCCUUAUGGGGUGUACCACUGUAAUAAGUGAAAAGUGGGGAAGGUAAAAUAGGUACACAGUAUUUAAUUUGUAUCAGAAUGCAACGAAGAAGUUCAGUUAAACAUGUUUUAAAAUGCCAUGAUAUUUACGAUUUUCUUCGUAAUAUAAAAGUUUACAAAAAGUAAUGAUUUAAUUAAGCUCAACUUUUUUUUACCACUAAGUACACCUUAUGACAAACCUCGUGUAAAAUUAGCACAAAUCAUAAUAAAAAAAAAAAUUCCUAUGCUGCGUUCAGAGUUUAAAAAGUAUUUUAUUGAGUAUUUAUAUUUAACCGGUUUUAAAAGAAAGUAUUGGGAUACGUAUUUUUACAAUUUACACAAGUUUUCAAAGCCGUAUGCUAAAUACGUUUGAAAAGUAUGUUUAACAGGACUUAUGUACGAGGCAUUUGACCCAAUGAGUAGGUGUAUUAUUAUCAUAUUAUCGCCCCGUGAUAAAAAUUACUAUAACAUACUAUCGUUCGAAGACGGAUUUUCGAGAAAUUUUCUCAUAGUCGUAUAGUAUUUAUACGACUACGAUGACGACGACGGUGCAAAGUUUGGGUGAUAUACCCGUUUGUUCUGCCUUCAAAUAUCAUCUCGCUACCACUACGAAUGGAUAAAGGUACUGUGUAAUAUACACAUUCAUAAAUCAUUGUCUACUUCAGACACCCCCCACCACGGUCUCGUCGUCACUUCGUUUUGCCUUCACCGACGGACGCACGUCGAUCUCAUUAUCCCGUUACCACUCGUACCACCGUUGUUGUCGUCGUCCAAAUUCGACCUACCCCGGAAAAACACACGACACGUCACUACCACGGCCGGCGGUAGAAACGACAGCUGCUGUGAAUUGUACUUUGGAAAAUAUCUU